rnacentral:sRNA from 1 species
GAGGGAGGGUAUGAAACAUGUAAAACAUAUCUGAGAAAGUGCCCAUCCCGUCAUCCUUGGUUGCCUGAAUACCUUGACUCCCACUGGGAGGAGAACGGACACAUCACAGAGUCCUAGUUAUUGAGGAGGCAGGAAGACACGAUCAGUCACGACCAUACCAUGAAGCAAAGAGAAUCCAGACACAGCAGUGUGAGCUGUGGGAUUCUGUUGGCUAAAAUGUCCCGAUUCUUGGUGACGGGACAUAACAGAGGCCAAGGUGAAGAUCUGCCUUGGAGGCAGAGAGGAAGGGGAAGGCGCGUAAGGUGCAGCCCUUGAAGACUGGGUGUGUUUGGUUUCUGACUGGAGUCUGGUCACACACUUUGGAGUGGGUCGUUCUAACAGACCAACUUAUCCAUUUUGUGGGUGGAUAAAGAAGGGAGUCCCGUGUCACAGGAUAUUGGAACCCCAAGAUCGUGUGCCCAUCCCAAGCACACACUUUUAGUCAAAGAGCUUUGCGUUUAUCAUAAGCAGUCUUAAAUAAAAUCAACCACAGAUCAAGAAGUGGAGCAAAGCAACCAGCUGACGGGGUGGACAUUGAAGUAAAUGGACAGAGUGGGAGGAAGUCAGGAGGAGGGAUAGUGAGGCACACAGGAAGGAGAAGGGAGGGAUGCUCAGUUGGAAGGUUUAUUGGGCUAGUGUGGAGAAGGAGAGCUUUUUCCUUUUGGGAUGCUGGCUGAGCAGCAAGGUCAGCUGGGUGCUUUCUCUGCCCCUCUGAGGCUUUCACCCCAGCAUCUGGCUCCUGACUCUUCACUGGUAAAUGGAACGUUUAAGACUCUGUUAAGAACAACAGUGGGGGUCCACCUACUGAUUGGCUUUCACAGUCGCUCGCUCCUUCCUCCACAGGGGAGUUCAUCUUCUCUUGACUUUCUUUGGUGAACUCCUAUAGAUUGAUCUCAUCUAGACCAGGCUUCUUCUUCUUAAGGAAGCCCUUUUCCUAUUGUAUCAGUCAGCGGUGGCCGCAAAACAAACACGACCAUGAAGAGAGUGAGAACAGUGAUUGUUAGCUCACAUUUCUUUAUUUGGGACGUACGUGAUACCCAUGAGCUGGGGUGUCAGACAGGAGGGCUCCAUCCAGACAGAGUACCCAGGGAGGAAGCCAGCAGCAGGAUAUGACAUAGGCCCGCUGUCUAGGCCCCUCAGUGGCAGAGUGGAGACCAGACCGAGUAUGGAACUCAGGCGGUGACCACUAGCCUGUACAGAUUCGGACCCCAGCCCCGGCACCUCCUUCCUGUGCAGCUUUGGGUGGGCGUGGACUUCUGUCCUGGUGAAAGGGAGUCACAGUGAGUUUUAGAGGCAAUGAUCACACAUAAUGUGCAGAGCUGCUCCCUAUACAUAGUAGGUACACAGCAAGGACCCUGUAGUCUGCUUGCUCUGGCAGACUAAUGUCACUCAGAGAUCCCUGGUGGCAGGGGAUCCUGACUCAUUCAGUGACCUUGGUAUCCUCAGUUCUGCAGUGACUAUGGCCUGGAGCAGCUGUGACUGGGUGGCCCCUCUCCAGGUGCAGGUGCUGGACCUGCAGGAUCCUCCAGUGUGUCUCAGAGCCAGCCCCAUGUUUAAGGUAUUGCUGAACCCACUGACAGAAAGUCCUAUGACAGUGUCUCCUUUGUUAAUCAGCCAAACCUUCCCGGUGCCAGGUUAGCAGGGCCAUAUUUGCCUCACUUUAGGGCUUGCCCUAGGAUGCAGGUCAAAGGUAACCAGGCCCCUCCACCACCAGCAGUGUGGACCGCAACGUGGCGUGGCGUUAAUGUUGGAGUAAGUUGGCACUAGUCGCUGCGGGCUGUGUGGGAGCCCUGCCUCCUCUCCCUCUCCUUCUAACUUGGGAACUGACUCUCUUUCUAACCAGUUCCUCUACCCUUGGGGUCAUUCACUGGCCUUAGCAGGAAGCUGGAAGAGAGGAUGGGAGGGAGGAGGGGCUUGGGGAGAUCCAUCCACAGCAGAGAUAGCAGGACUCUGGUACUUCACCGGGAUCCUAAGCUGCCUGCCUGGUUUCUUGUGCCCUGUUUUAAGAACAGGUUUCUUUUUGAUACCAACCUUUCUGGAAAGAACUGCCCACGCGAACAUCACCUGCCCUGCGACCCGAUCAUUGCAGAACUCCUUCAGCAAAGCAGGAGGCUGGCUCCUGACAGACCUCUGGUCCUGAGGACUCGCUGGUACUCACCGUCAGCCGUCAGCCGCUGUGCAGGGCACAGGUGGUCCCAUGCCAGUCCCUGCCUCUGCCACCAGGGACAUAAAGGGCAGUUUGAUGUGGAAGGACUCAGUAAUAGCAGUGUCGUGCCACAGUGAGAAAGUGUGUCUCUGCUAGAGGUGCUCCCGCCCCCAGAACCAUUCUCUUCCAAGCAAAGCAAAGUUACAUUGUUAUACCUGUCAGAUGGCUUGAGGGAAGGCCGUGUGCCAGCAUCUAGUGCCCCGGAACACCUCAAAUGGAUCCUGGAAGGACUUCAUGGUGACCGGGCUUGGUGGGGUGCAGCUGCUCAUUUUGACAGGCUGGAAGAGAGGACCAGGAGAGCAAGCAAAAGGAGGCAGUGGAGACAAGCAAUACCCUUCCAAAGCAUGUCCCCCAUAGUGGCCUCUUCCCUUAAACUCUCCCUCUGCCUCCCAACUUCCCAUUGCCUCCCAACACCACUGCCAGUUAUAACUCUAUCGAGGGACUUUCCAUUGAUGAAGACAGCACCUGUUUGCUGGUUCAUCUAAUCUGUGUCUGGAUUCAUCUAUACUGUCAUUGCUAUAGGCAGUGUGUGUGUGUGUGU